GGGAACGCCAUUUUCAUAUCUUUGCCCUAAAAAUUUCAUCCUCCAAAUUCGGCACCUCAAUCACACGAUGUCUUAUCACGAUAUCAACUCCUUAUCCACGAACUCAUCUGCCCACGAUUCCAGUAACAUGAUUUCACGGUUUUAUCAAAUCAGUUCUACUUUUACAGUAUAUAGUUCUUUUCUUUCUCCAUCGUGUGCAUAUCAAACAAUAAUUUUACACUACAAGAAGUGAUUGGAUAUAAUGGCGUCUGAAAUCAAUUUCAUUAGUGAAAUUAACAGCAAAUCAAUGAAUUGAAAGUUAAAGGUUCAUAUUGUGAGGCUUUGGAAAAAUCCGGACCGCGACAGGCCUGACAACCCCUUUUCCAUUGAGAUUGUUCUGAUGGAUGAAAAGGGCGACCGCAUUCACGCAAGUAUUGGCAGGUGUUUUAUUCAAAGGUUCAAACAAGAAAUUAAGGAAAUUGGUUUGUACCUCAUGAACAAUUUUAUGGUUUGUCCAAAUAAUAUGAAGCUUAAGACCAAAGACCACAAGUUUAAGUUGAUGUUCCCGCAUAAGACCACUGUUGACGAAAUACAUGUCCACAAUUCAACAUGUGUAUUUUCAAAUUUAGAACCUAUGAGCAGCUGUCAAAUCCCCAAGAAUUUGACAAUACUGAGUUAUUUGAUGUCAUUGGCGAAGUUGUGAGUUAUGAGGACGUACAAUCUAUCAAGCAAGAUGAUAACAUCCGUAUGUACAUGAACAUUGAGAUACAAGAUUAUGAGUAAGAUGGCCACAAUUUAUUCAACUAAGUAAACAUUUCAACAAUUCUUUAUUUUGAUUCCUAUGCUUAACCUUAUAAUAAAUGUAGGAGUAACAAUAUUUCUGCAACUCUUUGGGGAGACUUUGUGGAACAGAUUAAGCCAUAUUUGAAUAGAUCCAAUGAUAAGCCUGUUGUCGUCGUCAUGCAAUUGGUUAAAGCACAUCGAUUUCGAAGUUAUUAAAUUGUCUACUUACUUUGCAAUACAAUAUCUCUAUACAAUUAGUAAACUCUUAAAAAUUACUUUUAAGCGUGCAGAACAAUAUUCGGU